GACGAACGCUGGCGGCGUGCUUAACACAUGCAAGUCGAACGGAAAGGCCCUGCGCUUGUGGGGUGCUCGAUUGGCGAACGCGUGAGUAAAACGUGAGUAACCCGCCCUUGACUUUGGGAUAACAUCAGGAAACUGGGGCUAAUAUCGCAUAGGAGCUCCUGCUGCACGGGGGGGGUUGGAAAGUGUCGGCGGUUGGGGAUGGACUGGCGGGUUAUCAGCUGGUUGGUGGGGUAGUGGAUUACCAAGGCUUUGACGGAUAGCCGGCCUGGGAGGGUGACCAGGGACAAGAGGCCUACGGGACGCCGCAGAAGCGAACGGGAGGCAGCGGGGGGAAGCAUUGCGCAAUGGCCCGAAGCGUGUUGCAACAACGCCGCGUGCGGAAAAACGGCUUUCGGGUUGUAAACAGCUUUCGCAUUUAACGAAGCGUGAGUGACGGUACUGGAUCAGAAAGCACCGGCUAACUACGUG
rnacentral:rRNA from 1 species